UAGAGUUCAUGCCCUCUAGGGUAGAUCUCCCACCCUUGUCUAUAUCACGAAAUGUUGCUUUGGCAGGCCGGAUGUUUUCGCACCCUAGGAAAUUCCUAGUGCGCCUGCCAGAGGACCCCAAACUCUGAAUAUUAGUGUCGUCUGAGUACUAUAUAAUAGUUA
rnacentral:misc_RNA from 1 species